rnacentral:rRNA from 1 species
UACGGGGGGGGUAAGCGUUGUUCGGAAUUACUGGGCGCAAAGCGUGCGCAGGCGGUGAUGUAAGACAGGUGUGAAAUCCCCGGGCUUAACCUGGGAACUGCAUUUGUGACUGCGUCGCUGGAGUGCGGCAGAGGGGGAUGGAAUUCCGCGUGUAGCAGUGAAAUGCGUAGAUAUGCGGAGGAACACCGAUGGCGAAGGCAAUCCCCUGGGCCUGCACUGACGCUCAUGCACGAAAGCGUGGGGAGCAAACAGG